GACGAACGCUGGCGGCGUGCCUAAUACAUGCAAGUCGAGCGAACAGAUGAUGAGCUUGCUCCUCUGACGUUAGCGGCGGAGGGGUGAGUAACACGUGUAUAAUCUACCUAUAAGACGGGUAUAACUUCGGGAAACCGGAUCUAAUACGGGAGAAUAUAUUGAACCGCAUUGUGCAUUGGUAAAAUACGGUGUUGCUGGCACGUAUAGAGGGAUCCGCGCCGCAUUAGCUAGUGGUGAAGUUAACGGGUUACCAAGGCUACGAGGCGUAGCCGACGGCAGGGGGUGGUAGCCGACCCGGGAACUGAGACGCGGACAAGACGCCUAAGGGAGGCAGCAGAAGGGAAUCGUCCGCAAUGGGGGAAAGCAUGACGGAGCAAGCGCGAGUGAGUGAUGAAGGUCUUCGGAUCGUAAAACUCUGUUAUUAGGGAAGAACAAAUGUGUAAGUAAAUAUGCACGUCUUGACGGUACCUAAUCAGAAAGCCACGGCUAACUACGUG
rnacentral:rRNA from 1 species